UUUAUGGAGAGUUUGAUCCUGGCUCAGGAUGAACGCUGGCGGCGUGCCUAAUACAUGCAAGUCGAGCGAACGGACGAGAAGCUUGCUUUUCUGAUGUUAGCGGCGGACGGGUGAGUAACACGUGGAUAACCUACCUAUAAGACUGGGAUAACUUCGGGAAACCGGAGCUAAUACCGGAUAAUAUUUUGA
rnacentral:rRNA from 1 species